AUGUCCUGCUCCGACUGGGUCCUUGCUCGGAGGAGCCCGCUGGGCGCGGUAUGGAUCGCCGCGGACCUCGAGCGCAAGCAGGACGUCAACACGACGCAGAUCGACAGCGUCAACACCCCGUCCUACACCGUGUGCAUCGUGUCCCCCGAGCUCCCGAUCGCCCUGAGGCUAUCAGGGCAUCUCCUCCUAGGGCUCGUACGCAUCUACUCAUGGAAGGUGAACCACCCGUGUGGUCGUGGAACCUCUGAUCAGAAUCAGAUCACCUUGUGCGGAGAAGAGUAUGUGACGGUCAGUCUUGAUGAGGAUGCAAGUGAUGACCCCAUGGACGAAGAUCCGUCGCCGCCAUUCAUAGGAAAGGUUACCCCGCCACCGGAGAUGUACUCGUCUUUAUACCCUGUUAUAUGUAGAGGGUCUUUGUUUGGGGCAUCCAUUCCCAACGCACCAAGAGGCCAUGGUCCUACUGAAGAUGAAGAACCAGCAGGUGGCACUGGAAUCUCGGUACUGGCAUUUACCCUUGAACCCUCUCCACCUCGAGUAGUUCAAGAUAACAAGCGAAAGAGAAGGCAGAAUGUACAAGAGAAGAACAAGACGAGACCCGUACUCGACGAUGAAGAAACGCUCUCCCUUGCCUAUAUGGCGAAACAAAUGGAUGGUGAUGAGCUAGGUAAGCUGGUCCGCCGGAAGAAGAUUGCACCCCUUACAGCACUAGAUUUGUGGAGAUUCAACAGGAUGAGCCAAAAGGACAUCUUCUUCUCCGAACCUUUGGUGCAAGGAAUGUGUAGUGAUCUUCAUAAAGCUUGCAAGGUAACACCUCCACCUCACCUGCAAGAUAACAGGAGAAAGAGAACGCCGAGUGUGAUACAGAAGAAGAGAGGAAUCGUACUCGAUGAUGAAGAAAUGCUCUCCAUUGCCUAG
rnacentral:rRNA from 1 species